AGUAACGCGUGGUCAACCUACCGUUGAGUGGGGGAUAACUAGCCGAAAGGUUAGCUAAUACCGCAUACGUCUCCGAGAGGCAUCUCUUGGCGAUAAAAGGAGCAAUCCGCUCGAUGACGGGACCGCGUCCCAUUAGCUAGAUGGUGGGGUAACGGCCUACCAUGGCACCGAUGGGUAGCUGGUUUGAGAGAGCGACCAGCCACACUGGGACUGAGAAACGGCCCAG
rnacentral:rRNA from 1 species